rnacentral:rRNA from 1 species
AGUGAACGCUGGCGGUAGGCCUAACACAUGCAAGUCGAACGGCAGCACAGUAAGAGCUUGCUCUUACGGGUGGCGAGUGGCGGACGGGUGAGGAAUACAUCGGAAUCUACUUUUUCGUGGGGGAUAACGUAGGGAAACUUACGCUAAUACCGCAUACGACCUACGGGUGAAAGCAGGGGAUCUUCGGACCUUGCGCGAUUGAAUGAGCCGAUGUCGGAUUAGCUAGUUGGCGGGGUAAAGGCCCACCAAGGCGACGAUCCGUAGCUGGUCUGAGAGGAUGAUCAGCCACACUGGAACUGAGACACGGUCCAGACUCCUACGGGAGGCAGCAGUGGGGAAUAUUGGACAAUGGGCGCAAGCCUGAUCCAGCCAUACCGCGUGGGUGAAGAAGGCCUUCGGGUUGUAAAGCCCCUUUGUUGGGAAAGAAAAGCGGCAGGUUAAUACCCCGCUGUUCUGACGGUACCCAAAGAAUAAGCACCGGCUAACUUCGUG